UACGUAGGGGGCAAGCGUUGUCCGGAAUCAUUGGGCGUAAAGAGCGUGUAGGCGGCCCGUUAAGUCCGCUGUGAAAGUCCAGGGCUCAACCCUGGAAUGGCGGUGGAUACUGUCGGGCUCGAAUACGGAAGAGGUGAGUGGAAUUCCUGGUGUAGCGGUGAAAUGCGCAGAUAUCAGGAGGAACACCAAUGGCGAAGGCAGCUCACUGGGACGGUAUUGACGCUGAGACGCGAAAGCGUGGGGAGCAAACAGG
rnacentral:rRNA from 1 species